rnacentral:snRNA from 2 species
UCACUUACCUGGACGGGGUCAAUGGGCGAUCAAGAAGGUCCAUGGCCUAGGUUGGUGACCUCCAUUGCACUUCGGAGGGGUGCCCGCCUAAGGUCGGCCCAAGUGGUCGAGCCUACGUCAUAAUUUGUGGCAGUGGGGGCUUGCGUUCGCGCAGCCCUUG